rnacentral:lncRNA from 10 species
UUUUUCUUUCUUUCUUUUGUGGCUGCUGUAAGGUUUACAACAUGCAUUAUUAACCUAACAGAUUACCUUUGAUUAACAGUAUACAACUUCAUUUAUAAUGUAGGAUCACUAAUGGUACACUUCCAUUCUGGUUUUUUUUUUGUGUGCUACUGUUCUUAAACAUUUUACUUCUACAUGUUAAAAAUUCCAUAUUGCUUAUUAAUUUUUUUCCUAAAAUUUAUCUUUUAAUGGGAACUGUUUAAUGGGAACAGUUUCUAUUGCUGUAUCUUUAAAUUCACUGAUCUUUUCUUGGGCAUUGUCUAAGCUGUUAUUUAUCCCAUCCAGUAAAAUUUGUACUUCAGAUAGAUACUAUAUUAUUUAUCUCUAGAAGUGUUACUUUGUUCUUUUAAAAAAAAUUUUUCUUUUAUUUGAGACACAGUCUCACUCUGUCACCCAGGCUAGAGUGCAGUGACAGAGUGAGACCCUGUCUCAAA